GCGAGAGUGGCGGAAUCCGGCAGACGCGCCAGCCUUAGGAGCUGGUGCCCUUUGGGCGUGGGGGUUCGAAUCCCCCCUCUCGCA
rnacentral:tRNA from 1 species